CGCUGGCGGCGUGCCUAAUACAUGCAAGUCGAGCGAACCACUUCGGUGGUGAGCGGCGAACGGGUGAGUAACACGUAGGUGAUCUGCCCAUCAGACGGGGACAACGAUUGGAAACGAUCGCUAAUACCGGAUAGGACGAAAGUUUAAAGGUGCUUCUGGCACCGCUGAUGGAUGAGCCUGCGGCGCAUUAGCUAGUUGGUAGGGUAAAGGCCUACCAAGGCGACGAUGCGUAGCCGACCUGAGAGGGUGAACGGCCACACUGGGACUGAGACACGGCCCAGACUCCUACGGGAGGCAGCAGUAGGGAAUCUUCGGCAAUGGGCGAAAGCCUGACCGAGCAACGCCGCGUGAAUGAUGAAGGCCUUCGGGUUGUAAAAUUCUGUUAUAAGGGAAGAACGACUUUAGUAGGAAAUGGCUAGAGUGUGACGGUACCUUAUGAGAAAGCCACGGCUAACUACGUG
rnacentral:rRNA from 1 species